GCUGGGCAUGGUGGCGCAUACCUGUAAUCCCAGCUACUUGGGAAGCUGAGGCAGGAGAAUCGCUUGAACCAGGGAGGUGGAGGUUGCAGUGAGCCGAGAUCACGCCACUGCACUCCAGCCUGGUGACAGAGUGAGACUCUGUUUCAA
rnacentral:SRP_RNA from 1 species